rnacentral:rRNA from 1 species
CCUACGGGAGGCAGCAGUGAGGAAUAUUGGUCAAUGCCCGAGAGGCUGAUCCAGCCAAGUCGCGUGAGGGAAGACGGCCCUACGGGUUGUAAACCUCAUUUGUCGGGGAGCAAAGCGAACCACGUGUGGUUAAUUGAGAGUACCCGAAGAAAAAGAAUCGGCUAACUCCGUGCCAGCAGCCGCGGUAAUACGGGGGAUGCGAGCGUUAUCCGGAUUUAUUGGGUUUAAAGGGGGCGCAGGCGGAGGGGCAAGUCAGCGGUCAAAUUGCGGGGCUCAACC